rfam:Garciella nitratireducens DSM 15102 genome assembly, contig: BP36DRAFT_scaffold00002.2
AAAAGAAAGUAGAAGAUUCCACUUCUCACCUUACUGCUAAGUGAAUGCAUGUAGGGUCUAUAACUCAUGGAUAAUUUUUUAUUGUUUUAUAUGAUGGAGUUUAUAGGUGCAGGUGGGAUUUCUACCUGUAUUUUUUAUUAUUA